CAGGAAAUGAAAGGAGGAACAAAAAGCAGUUGGGGAAGAUUUGCUGGAAUCUCAGCAGGUCCCUCCUGGGAACCUGUUGGCCACCGGGAUUCAAUCUGGUGGCUUUGGAAACGUUUCAAACACCGCGGCACGUCCAGGAGUCCAUCUGUCAGGUGAGCAUCUGUGGCUCACGAUUCCAGCUGUCCACAGAAUACGGGAAAUUCAAAAUGUGCUUCUGCUUUCUCAGAGCAAGGACAGGAUGGAGUCGUCCCUGGUCACCUGAAAUACGGCUGGAGCUGUCACAUAUCGGGGCUGGAUCAAUGCAGAGCUCCCUCAAUGCCGGCUGGAACACUUUGUGCAUUGAUGGGAUUUGCAUUAGAGAGAUAUACAGCACUUCAGGGAGGAGGAGUGGGAAUUCUGCU
rnacentral:lncRNA from 1 species